rnacentral:rRNA from 1 species
UACAGAGGUCCCAAGCGUUGUUCGGAUUCACUGGGCGUAAAGGGUGCGUAGGCGGUCGGGUAAGUCUGAUGUGAAAUCUCACAGCUCAACUCCAGAACUGCCUUUGAUACUGAGGAUCUUGAGUUCGGGAGAGGUGAGUGGAACUGCGAGUGUAGAGGUGAAAUUCGUAGAUAUUCGCAAGAACACCAGUGGCGAAGGCGGCUCACUGGCCCGAUACUGACGCUGAGGCACGAAAGCGUGGGGAGCAAACAGG